rnacentral:lncRNA from 1 species
GUUGUCUCACUGGCAAUCAUACCAAAUCUUCUUUUUUAUAUUUCACUUGUGUUUUUUUUUUCAAUAAAUUUCAUAAUGAUUGUAUGUCAUCAUAUCUACCAUUUGUCUACAUUGGUUGCUUAGAAUUGUUGCUGUUACUGAUAUCAAAUUACAAUAUAGAUUUCGAAGACUUCACUGUGAAUUUCAGGUUGAGGAUAGCCAACUAUGCUAAUUAUUUAGUUUUUAUCAUUUUGGUGUGCGCGUAGUGAUUUUUUUGUCAUAUAUUGAAACACUAUAUAGAAGGUCAAUAAAU